rnacentral:rRNA from 1 species
GUCUAGGGCCACACCAGCCUGAACAUGCCUGAUCUCGUCCGAUCUUGGAAGCUAAGCAGGGCCAAGCCCAGUUAGUACUUGGAUGAGAGUUUGGAGUUAAGCAGGUCACCAAAAAUC